UACGUAGGGUGCAAGCGUUGUCCGGAAUUAUUGGGCGUAAAGAGCUCGUAGGCGGUCUGUCGCGUCGGCUGUGAAAUCCCGAGGCUCAACCUCGGGUCUGCAGUCGAUACGGGCAAACUGGAGUGUUGCAGGGGAGACUGGAAUUCCAUGGUGUAGCGGUGAAAUGCGUAGAUAUCUGGAGGAAUCACCGGUGGCGAAGGCGGCAUCCUGGACCAUAUGACGCUGAGGAGCGAAA
rnacentral:rRNA from 1 species